AGGGGUCAUGUCUUGACUAAGGUCACACAACUAAUGAGCGGUAAAGCUAAGAUGAAAAAAACAGGGCUCUUUGUACUAUACGAGGCUGCCUCUUACUCCUCCACCUGUACAAAUGACCCCCCACAGAGAACACGCAGGCCAGCUCCCCAGUCGUGUCCAAGAACUGGGCCACUUAUUAUCUCUUCAGUCCUGCCCAGGGAGCCUCAAUUUGUCCUGUCAUAGAUUCUAUUCCACCCAGUCACCAUUCUUCACUGUAGCAGGUGAUGCUCCCAAAGCAGGUUGCUCUGUGUGGGGUUGUGGUCAGAGACGCAGCGGCCGGCAUCACGGCCCCCACACCACAAGCCGCCCAGGUGUUUUCUGCCCGCUGCUGGCCCUCGAGACAUUUUUGAGAGUUUGUUCUGCAUCUGCCUUUUCACCUGCUGUUCAUUCCCAUCCAGCGGCUGUGUGGGGAUCCCAUUGGAGUCCCCUGGGAGCACUAUAGAAAGAUCUCACCCUAUGCCUUGCUCUCUGACUGAGAUGAACAGGCUGCCAUUUUGAAAUCUCAAGAAAUCUACAAGCAACAGAAUGGAAGCUCCAGAGACUUCCUGACAUGACUCGGUGCCCAGAACUCUUACUUCUCAGUCUCUAUGAGGAAAGCACUGGUGGAGUGGGGGUGAGAACGAGAGAUGAGGAAACCAAAGCUCAGAAGGACUGAGGUACCCCAGUAAGUACCGGUGCUAUGGCUUGAUUCUGGGUCUGCCUGACUCCCAAGCCUGUGCUGCCUCCAGGUCCCGGCGGAGGCAGGAACUCCAGCCACAUCUCUGCCUCUAGAUCUACCACACCCAGUGCCUCUCCAGAAGAGGAUUUGCCUUGUGUGCCCUGAUUGAACGCCUGUCAGUCUGGGGGGUGGGGAGGCGCCGGUAUCACAAGGCCUGGUAUUGGCCUCUAGGCAGAAUUUCUCUUAUCACAAAUUACACCUUGGAACCUCCAUCCUCCUAAAAGGGGGGGACUUGGUGGGGCUGAUCCCAAGGUGUCAGUUCAGGGGAGCGAAAGUUAAGAGAGUGGCCUAAUGGGGACACUUUCCUGAGACCAAGCCCAUGGAGAUGUGAGCAGAAUUUACCGUCAGCCAAGGCUUGAAUAAAGUGGCCUUAAAGGUAACAGAUAUAACAUCAACCUGCCAAUUUUUAUCACAUCAAAAAAGUUCUGUGGUUUGUGGUUGGUAAAUUUCGAUAUAGAAAUAUUUGACUCUUGG
rnacentral:lncRNA from 1 species